rnacentral:rRNA from 1 species
CGAACGGGAUUCUUAUAACGGACGCUUCGGUUGAAGUUUAAGAUGAGAGUGGCGAACGGGCGAGUAAUGUAUGAAUAACUUGCCUCUAAGUUCGGGACAGCCCAUGGAAACGUGGAUUAAUACCGGAUGUGCUCAGCAGUGGCAUCACUGCUUAUGUAAAGGUGGGGACCCUUCGGGGCCUGCCGCUUAGAGAUAGAUUCAUAUCGUAUCAGCUUGUUGGUGAGGUAACGGCUCACCAAGGCUUUGACGCGUAGCUGGUCUGAGAGGAUGGUCAGCCGCACUGGGACUGAGACACUGCCCAGACUCCUACGGGAGGCUGCAGUCGAGAAUCAUUCGCAAUGCACGAAAGUGUGACGAUGCGACGCCGCGUGGAGGAUGACGGCCUUCGGGUUGUAAACUCCUGUCAGCAGGGAGCAACACUUCAAUAUCUAAUAGAUGUUGAAUUUGAUAGUACCUGCAGAGGAAGUCACGGCUAACUCUGUGCCAGCAGCCGCGGUAAUACAGAGGUGGCAAGCGUUAAUCGGAAUUACUGGGCGUAAAGGGUCCGC